rnacentral:rRNA from 1 species
CACGUAAUUAGCCGGUCCUUAUUCCUAUGGUACUGUCAUUUUCUUCCCAUAGAAAAGAUUUUUACAACCCGAAGGCCUUCUAAAUCACGCGGCGUCGCUGCAUCAGGGUUUCCCCCAUUGUGCAAAAUUCCCCACUGCUGCCUCCCGUAGGAGUCUGGGCCGUGUCUCAGUCCCAAUGUGGCCGUACACUCUCUCAAGCCGGCUACUGAUCGCUGUCUUGGUGGGCCGUUACCCCACCAACUAACUAAUCAGACGCAAGUCCAUCUUAGAGCGAUAAAUCUUUGACCAAGGCCUCAUGCGAGGUUAUGGUUUCAUAGGGUAUUAUUCUUCGUUUCCAAAGGCUAUCCCCUUCUCUAAGGCAGGUUACUCACGCGUUACUCACCCGUCCGCCACUAAUCCACUUUUUUCAUUCCGAAGAAAUCAAAAAAGUUUCAUCGUUCGACUUGCAUGUGUUAUGCACGCCGCCAGCGUUAAUCCUGAGCCAGGAUCAAACUCU